CAGUCGCCACGGUAAUACGUAGGUCCCGAGCGUUGUCCGGAUUUAUUGGGCGUAAAGCGAGCGCAGGCGGUUAGAUAAGUCUGAAGUUAAAGGCCGUGGCUUAACCAUAGUACGCUUUGGAAACUGUUUAACUUGAGUGCAAGAGGGGAGAGUGGAAUUCCAUGUGUAGCGGUGAAAUGCGUAGAUAUAUGGAGGAACACCGGUGGCGAAAGCGGCUCUCUGGCUUGUAACUGACGCUGAGGCUCGAAAGCGUGGGGAGCAAACAGGAUUAGAUACCCCGGUAGUCCCUGUCUCUUAUACA
rnacentral:rRNA from 1 species